GCAGUCUGAAUUUCGAAUUUUUCAUGGCGUUUUAACGUGGUUGCUUAUGUUUUCUCUCCGAAUGUUGCAGGGUGCCUGCCGUCAUGGCUGUCGAGCAACCUAUGAGAAGAAUUUAGUAUAGGGUCUUAUAACUGACAAGAGUAUAAUUAAGAGUGUUAUGGCCAAAGGAGCAAGAGAAAAAACUAUCAGACAAAUGACACGGUGGAGCAUUAUUCUAGCUGUCUUGAUGGACCAUCAGUCAGUCAGUUUCUUGAAGGGCCCGCAUACUUGUGUUAGGGUGGGUUUUGCAGUAUCAGUAGCAAAAGAACUGUUAUAGGGAAUAACUCCUACACGGAUUACUUGAGUUACUGUAAGUAGAUGUACAAUCUAUUGUAAAAAAAAAUAUUGUGAUUACAUAUGCAUACCACCAACAUUUUCACGUCCAUGUAGUCGUCGAAACCUCUAGGCGUGAUCUCGUGUCAACAGGAAUCUGAGAGAAACAGACCACACCGCAUCAAGAAGGCCACUACCAUGCGGGACCUUUCACCUUAGUGCCACUGCAACAACACACUCCACGCAACAGAGUGAUACCACCAGAUCCGGACCUCUUGCGGACUGCCUCGCAGUCACCACCACGAUAACACAAAACACGAGGAGGCCUCGCCACACCCGCCGUUGGACUUCACCUCGUUCUCAUCACCUCGAUGAAUCACUGCGCGCGGGGGCCUCACCACGUCCGCCACAGUUUUCCAUGUCACGGAUCUGUUUCUUUUAUCGCCAUCAGAAUGGAGAGCAAUGUUGCCCCGCUUCCCACGGUCCCCAUCAAAGAGCUAUGCCGCCGCUGCAAAUCAACUUCGCCUCGUUGCUCCACCCGCGCACAUAACCUUUACCGCCGAGCCAGCAAACCAAAGAAGUUGCUUGUGUUGUCUUCCGAUGAUGUACCACACCGGAGUAGCCCAGCAAAGCUAGGGGCGCCACCAUCGGAUCCGGCCGUGUUGGCUCCUUAGGGGCGCACACGGCUCCACGCCGCCUCCUUACCCACAUGAUGCAACUAUAGGCCCUCUCCAAGACCGCUCCGUCCAAGCACGGGACCACCGGAGGCCGCCGCACCCACACCGUGGCCGUUGCUGAGCGCCACCACCACCGCAGCUUAGGCUGAGCCUUUCAGAUCCAAGUGACUCCAGCCCAAGCCCAAAUCUGGCGAUUCCGCCCCGCUGCUGCCCUCCUAAUGGUCGCACGAGCUUCCAGCAGGCCAGCUCUGACGGCAGCAAGAUGGGAGGAUGGAGGGAGAUGGAGUGGCGGUGCUAGGGUUGGGGUCCGCCCGUGUCGCCCCUGAGGAGGGACGCACCCCAGCAUAUACUUGUGUACGCAAGAUAAUAAAGAUAAUAAAGGCUGUACAACGAUGUUAAAACAAUCCAGUCUAUAAUCUCACCUCGUCAUUUGCUAUGUAAUUUAGCAAAUGACGUACGUACAGAAUCGGAGAGAGCUAAGCCUGCCGGAGCAGGAGUUUUCUUCUACUGUCGUUGCAUUCUUGUUGCAAUCUUCUUUUGCAUUUUGCAUUAAGACGAAAUUGCCUUGUUGCUGUCAGUCUCAAGGCUAUAUUGAAAAGCCACGUAGGCGUCUCGUGCGUUCGUCUCCAAGGUUGCGUCGUGUUGGUGUCCGGCUUGAUCGGUGUGUUCAUUCAAGCCCAGGCCCAGUAGAUUGGCAAGGUUGUUGCCAUGUCAAUCGAGUUGAGUUCUAGGUGUAGGACGUACGCAUGUUUGUUGCGCCCGGACUGCUGUGUUGAUCGAGUCGUAGGAGGUUAGGAGGAGUGGUGCGUGUGGCGCCGGUCCAAGCGGAAGAGGCCGUGGCGUGCGGGUAGAGCAUGUGCGGCUCUCCACGACGUCACUGAGCGGAUCUCUCGGAUGCUGGCGUGAGAACCGGACGUGGAGGCGAGCUCCAGUAGUGCCUAGUGCUCCUGUGUAAUCGUUGCCAAGUCCAGAGAAUAAAAAUUGCCAAGAUACAGGCCGUUGCGUCGGCCGCCGCGUUCGUCGCCAGAAAAUCCUGUUCAUCUUCUUCCUUGCGCUGGUGAGUGAGAGAAAAAAAGUGAAGCUGUUCCUGGGCAGAGCCAACAGCACCUGCACUCGGUGCACCCCAGCCUGUCGGCGGCGCCGCGGGUGUCGAUGGCGUGCACGUUCAGCGACCACAGCUCCUCGUACCCCUCCGGCGGUGCUGCCGGGUCGCCGGCCUCGACGGCGUACGGGUCGGGCACCCACGUCGCCGUGCGCCGGGCCUCGGACCCCGGCCCGUAGUACUGCCCCAGCGUGCGCGCGCACACGCCGGAGUUCCUCGCCGGGAUCGUCGUCGGGAGCCCCCGCGCCUCGGCGGCGUCCUUCGCGGCGAAGUAGGGCUGCGCGAGCCAGUGGUGGAGCCGUGGAGGUAGGUCUCGUGGAGCGGCACGGGGGCGCCGUGCUCGUCGACGACCUCGGCGUUGAAGCUCUUGAGCGCGAUGUGGCCUCUGGGGAACACGAUGUCGAGGUACCACUUGUUGGAGACGGAGCCGGGGCGCAGGAGGAUCGCCGGUGACAUGAACGUCUUGGACUUGAGCCGGUGGUGGCCUCUCACGCUGAGCGCCUCUGACGGAAGAGAGGCGGUUGCAGCAGAGAGCAGUGUGAGGAGCACCACAAGGAACGGCGGUAUCUUCGUCUUGUUGCCACCUGAAAGAAUUUACAACCUAGAAUUAUAUAUCAAAGUGCUUAACCAAAUCAGGAGAAAUGGACUAGAAUAAGAAAAGGAAUCGAGAACUAUUUGAUUCUUUUUUCCAUUGGAUUAGAAAGCAAUGCAACUAUGAUGUACUCCCUCCGUUUCAAAUUUAUACAAUGAUUUGAUUCUCCAAAAAAAUUAGAAUGAUUUAUAAUUUGGAACGGAGGAGUAUCGCUAAGACCAGGAAUCAUCCAUCUAGCACUUGAAGUCACGAUCUGGUUUGACAAACCGUUGAUCCCACUAGGCUUUAGACUUGCGACCUCCCUCCUCAUAUGAUUUCUCAUUAUGAUCCCACCUGGUCGGACUCUCUCAUCACGAUCUGGUGAUAACCCGAGUAGGCAUCCCGAAAGGAGAUGAUUUCGCAUCAUGAGUUGAAGUCGACUAUCUAAUUUAUGCGUGGUAAAGGAAAGUGAUCCUUGGGACACGGUUUGUCAAGGCCAAUAUAUUCAACACACAUUCUCCAUUUUCUAUUUUUCUUUUUUACAAGAACAGGGUUAGCGAGCUAGUCGGAGUGGUACACCUCCUUGAUAAAACUGAGCGCCAAGAAUUUGGUGAUCUCCUCGCCUAUAGUCCUACUCCUCUCGUCGUCGAAGCGGCGUAGGCGUUGUUUGACGGGCUUCGAGCUCGGGGCGAUGCGUAGUGCGUGCUCGGUGACCUCCCUCGGGAUGCCAGGCAUGUCAACAGACUUCCAUGCGAAGACGUCUCGGUUGGCGUGCAGAAAGUCAGUGAGCUCGCUUUUCUAUUUAGCUGGGAGCUUGGUCUCGAUACGCAUCGUCUUGGUCGGGUCGCUGGGGUCAAUCUCCACCGCCUUGGUCGGGUCGGACUGAAGACGCUCGCGGCGGUCGGCUCAUUGUAGUCGGGCAUGGCCGGGGCCGCCUCCUUCCCGAGCUUCUGGAGUUCGGCGGAGUUGGUGAGGCCGGUGGCGAGCUCGUAGUGCUCGCGGUCGCACAUGUAGGCGUGCGAGAAAGUGCUACCCACUGUGAUGGUGCCGUGCGGUCCUGGCAUCUUCAGCUUGAGGUAGGUGUAGUUGGGGACUGCCAUGAACUUGGCGUAACAUGGUCGCCCCAGGAUGGCGUGGUAGCACCUGAGAAACUCCACCACCUCGAAGGUUAGGACCUCCGUGCGGAAGUUGGCGCGGUCGCCAAAUGUGACGGGCAGGUCAAUUUGCCCAAGCGGAUACACCUGCAUCCCCAGGAUCACACUGUGGAAAGGUGCGAUCACUGGCUAGAGCUUAGAUCGGGGGAUGCACAUGGUGUCCAGGGUCUCGACAUACAGGAUGUUGAGGCCAUUGCCCCCAUCCAUGAGUACUAGACUAAGGCGUUUCUUGUCGACGAUGGGGUCGACAACGUGCGGGUACCGACCCAGUCAGGGAACGCAGGUAGGGUGGUCCUUCUAGUCGAAAGUGAUCGGUUGGUUUGACCAGCGCAGGUAAGUAGGAAUAGCUGAAUCGAUGGUGCAUACCUCUCGAUGGCGCACCUUGCGUUGGCGCUUGGAGUGGUCGGCGUCGGGUCCCCUGAAAGUCAUGAGGCAAGUUUCAGGCUUGGGGAAGCUGUCUGCAUCCUUGCCUGCCCCAUCUUCCUUGCUCUCGCACUCCUUCGGCUUGUCGGCCUGCCGCAGAAAGCGCUUGAGGAGUUUGUAGUCCUUGUAGAGGUGCUUGAUGGGGAAGGCGUGGUUGGUACAGGGGCUCUCCAUGAGCUUCUCGAAAUGGUUAUUGCGGCCCUGUUGGGGUUGCUUGCCCAGUUGGUCUGCCGCCGCCACUAUCAUCGGGUGGGUCGGUUGGUGCUGCUCCUUGUUGUUCUUCUUGCCCUGCUUUGUGGAGGGGCCCUCGUCCCGGUCCUCGCGCUUGGCCUUGCCUUUGUCCCAAUCAGCGUUGAAGACCGCCCCAACUUCCUUCUCACCGGAGGCGUGGUUCAUGGCGAGGUUGAGUAGCUCGUGGGUGGUGCGGGGCUUCUAGCAGCCAAGCUUGUGGACCAAAGAAUCGUAGGUCAUCCCGGAGAGGAACGCCUUGAUGACAUCUGCAUCGACGAUGUUAGGGAGGGAGUUGCAUUGCCUCGAGAAUCUACGGAUGUAAUCCCGCAGGGGCUCGUUGGGCUUCUGUUUGCAGCUCUUCAGGUCCCAGGAAUUACCGGGUUGGACGUAUGUCCCCUUGAAAUUCCUGACGAAGACCUUCUUGAGUUCCGCCCGAUCGCGGAUGCUGUUGGGUGGAAGGAACUCGAGCCACACUCGAACAAACUCCCCUAUGCAGAUGGGGAGGUACUAAAUGAUGAAGUUGUCAUCAUCUGCUCCUUCGGCUCGGUAGGCGAGUCGGAAGUAUUCAAGCCACUCACUGGGGUUCGUCUCCUCGGUAUACUUGGCGAUGUUGGUGGGCAGUCAGAAGCGCUAUGGGAAUGCCGCUUUCUAGAUUCGACGACCAAAGGCCUGAGGUCUCGGUCCGUUCGGGCUGGGGCUUCGGUCGCCGUUCCGAUCGCUGGGUCGGCCGCCACGCCUGGGGUGCACCUCCUCAUGCUGCCUGUCGGACCAUCCGUGAUCCUCAUCCUCCGCUCUCAUCACCAUGUGGUCGACGUCAGUGUUGUGCCGUGCCACACGUCGCGCGUGGAUGACACUACGCGUGUCACGGUUUGGCCCUAUGCAUUCGUGCACGGACUGGCGCCGCGGAGCUGGUGCGGGGUCGAGUUGCGGUGCGGCCGCGACACUCUGACCCGCACGACGGGGCUACUGAGGUGAGCGGAUAGAGCAAUUCAGCUGGUGCGGGCCCAGUGCUUCGGUCGGGCAUGAUGCUGCAUGUCGCUGACGCGAUGUGGAGCUCUCUGCCUGCUGCACUGGUGCGAUUUCCACCAGUGCCCAAAGGUUUCGGUGGAGUGCCUGCUCCUUAGGGUCAGCGGGCUCGGGGAGGCUGCGUAGAAGCAUCGCCGUGGCGGAGAUGUUCUGGCCGGCCCGAGCAAACUACAGGAUGUCGUCCCCGCCUGCCAUGAUGUUGCACUGAACCUGGCGGGCGUGGCCUCUAUGUCCUGGUUUCGUGUUCUUGUUGCAAUGGUUGUGUAACGACAUACUCCUACCGGUCGAAUUUUCACCAUCGGAGUUAAGUGAUAUACGUAAUGCCAGUUGCAGUGAGCGAAGAUCAAUGUGAUUGGUCGAAUCGAAAUCUAGGUUCAUACGCCAGGCGCAUGAGAUGCGCAAUAGUAGAUUGGAUAUACUGCCGGGUCGGAAUUUUUUCGUGUGCGUAUACUUCGGUAAAACAGCCGUAACUUUUCAGUACAAUCUCGGAUCGGGGCGAAUUUAUAUGAAAAUUGAUCUACAGAAAAAUUUACACAUAAAAUUCAAUCGCUUUGCUGUUUUUGGCGAAAUUAGAUUGCCCAAAUUCGGCUUGGAAGAUGGAGUUUCGAGCCUCUGAAGUUUGGAACGUUAGAACGCCUAACUCUAUUUUUGCAGAAUGUAUGUAUCUUGUGAUCAGCAUGGUCCUUUGUGUAUGUGAUGCAUGUGUGUAACUCAUUCGUGACCUCCGUGUCGCGCGUACGGCGACACGGCUUGAGCCAUAUGUGUUGUCACUUUAAUGUAUUUAAUGGUCUGCGUACCAAUCUAUGAUGAUCCAAGCAACUAUGUAAUCUUCAUUACUAGCUAUUAGGUGUAAUAGCAUGUUCUAGUUCUUGGAGGACUCAUCACCAGGAGGAUGGCGCACAUGGAACAUGGAGAUGGACAUCACCAUGGUGAACAGGUUCUGUGGAGAUGGAGAUCACCAUAAGAAAAUAGGCCAUACUGUGUCACAACUGUGUGAAUGCUAUUCUUUAUGUUUUACUUCCUGCAUGCUGCGAUGUUAGAAGUAGAACGAUCCGUCGCAAAGUUUAAGUUAGUAUGCCCUCCCAACUAAAACUUGUACCGUCCCAUGUCUUGUACAAUUAGUGGUGGGUCUAUGAAAUUAGGGUGCCACUAGUUUUCCUUGACUAGACGGGUUUGUGUCGGAUACUUACACGCAUAAGGGUUGAUUUGCUUAACAAGGUUAUCUUAACGGUUAAGGACCUUGGGGCAUAAAGGUUGGGCGCCGAGACAUGGAGAUGUCACCCAAUAAUAGGAGUCAUAUGUGAUAUGAUUAGCAAGAAGUUGCUUACUGAUCUACCUUGUUUGCUAGCGGUGAUGCUAAAGCUCACUAGUAGACUUAUUAGUUGUGGAUCCUAAAUCACUAAGUAUCAAUAGAGGGAUAUUGAUUUUAGUAGGAGUAUAUUCGGUUAAAUAGUUUAAUGUGACUUGCUCUAUCAUGGACACGUUUGUCUUAGUGUAUUUUGCAUUACUUUUGUUGUAGAUUAAAUGGCACCUAGCAGCACCACACUGUUUGCUUUGCGUUCGGUCCUUGAGAAGGACAAGUUGAAUGGAACAAACUACUCGGAUUGGAUCCGUAACCUGAGAAUUGUUCUCAGGGCUGAGAAAAAGGAAGACGUUUAUACAACCCAUUACCAGAAGAACCUGCUGAUGAUGCACCUGCUGUUGUUAAGAAUGCUUACAAGAAAGCAUGUGAUGCUAACCUCGAAGUAAGCUGCCUUAUGCUUGCUUGCAUGGAACCCGAGCUGUAGAUGCAGUUCGAGACAAACCAUGAGGCGCACGAUAUGAUCGUGGCGCUUAGAGAUAUGUUCCAAACACAGGCUAGGACUGAAAGGUUCAAUGUGUCUAAGGCCUUUGUGGAGAGCAAGCUAGCAGAAGGCGCGGAAGUAGGACCACACGUAAUCAAGAUGGUUGGUUACACUCAAUGGUUGGAGAAGCUAGGCUUCCCAUUGGGCCAAGAGUUGGCCACUGAUUUCAUUCUUUCGUCUCUUCCGCCCAACUAUGGCAACUUCAUCUCGAACUACCAUAUGCAUGGGAAGGAGAAGGGUCUGAAUGAACUAUGUGGCACGCUUAAAAUAGCAGAGGCUGACAUUAAGAAAAGCGCUAGUAGUAGGCAUGUGAUGGCUAUACAGAACAAGCCUAGCUUUAAGAAGAAGGGCAAUUCUUGGAAGAAGAAGGGCAAGGUUUGAAUAUCCAAGUCAAACCCAGCGCCUAAGGUUAAAGCUGGACCUGGACCUGCUCCAGACAAAGAGUGCUUUUAUUGUCAUGAACUUGGUCACUGGAAGAGAAAUUGCAAGCAGUACCUAUCUUCGUUGAAGAAUGGCGGAAGUAAGAGUACUUCCACCUCAGGUACGCUUGUUAUUAAUGUUAUAGACAACAUAUUUCUCGCUGAUACAAUUAUUAAUUCUUGGGUAUUUGAUACCGGAUCGGUUGCUCAUAUUUGCAAUUCGAUGAAGGGAAUGAUAAGAAAUAGAAGCGUGGAAAGAGGAGAAGUUGAUUUCCGUGUGGGAAAUAAUGCAAGAGUUGCUGCGUUGACCGUCGGGAUGAUGCAACUCCACCUCCCGUCAGGAUUUAUUAUAGAGUUGAAUAAUUGUUAUUUCGUUCCUAGUUUAAGUCGAAACAUUUUGUCUCCUUCAUGCUUGAUGAAGGAUGGUUAUUCAUUUGCGAGUGAAAACAACGGUUGUGUGAUCUCUAAGAAUGAUAUGUUUAUGGCUUUUGCACCCAUUGUAAAUGGAUUAUUUGUUUUAAAUCUUGAUGGUUCACCUGUUUGUAACGUAAGUGCUAAAAGGCCUCGGCCUAAUGAUUUGAGUCCUACCUACUUGUGGCAUUGUCGUUUGGGUCAUAUAAGUGAAAAGCGCAUGAAGAAGCUUCAUUCUGAUGGACUUCUAACUUCGUUUUAUUUUGAAUCAUACGAGACAUGUGAGGCUUGCUUGCUAGGCAAGAUGACCAAGGCGCCUUUCACAGGUUUUCCUGAGAGAGCAGUAGACUUGUUGGAACUCGUACAUAGCAAUGUAUGGGACCAAUGAGUACGACGGCUAGAGGAGGAUUCCAAUACUUCAUAACUUUCACUGAUAAUUUUAGUAGAUAUGGCAAUGUCUACUUGAUGAGGCACAAGUCUGAAACCUUUGAAAAGUUUAAAGAAUUUCAGAAUGAAGUUGAAAAUCAGUGUGGCAAGAAAAUUAAGGCCUUACGAUCUGAUCGUGGAGGCGAGUAUUUGAGCCACGAGUUUAGCAAACAUCUAAAGAGUUGCGGAAUUGUUCCACAACUUACGCUGCCUGGAACACCUCAGAGAAACGGUGUAUCCGAGCGACGUAAUCGAACUUUGUUAGACAUGGUUCGGUCAAUGAUGAGCCAGUCAGACCUACCGUUAUCGUUUUAGGGAUACGCUCUGGAAAUAGCAACUUUCACACUUAAUAGGGUACCAUCUAAAUCCGUAGUUAAGACACCAUAUGAGAUGUGGAUCGGAAAAGUUCCCGAUAUGUCUUUUCUACAACCGAUCAGAGGGCAAAGUGUUUGUCGCUCGGAACGGGGUUUUCCUAGAGAAAGAGUUUCUCAAAGGAGAAAAGAGUGGAAAGAUAGUGCAUCUUGAAGAAGUUCGAGAUGAGCUGAUCGGGCAAGAAUCAAUGAGUGAUGCUAACGUAGCAGAACAAGUUGAGAUACCCAUGGCAAGAGAAGCACCGCCACAACCAUGAAGGUCGGCAAGGCUCCGGGAAAUGUGGGAAAUAUUAUUGUUGGACAAUGAUUAUGCAGAAGUAAUGAUGGACCCAAACUCUGAAAAAUGGCAGAGUGCCAUGCAAUCCAAAAUAGAGUUCAUGGGAGACAAUCAAGUUUGGAACUUGGUUGACCCGCCUGAUGGUGUUAAAGCCAUAGAGUGCAAGUGGAUCUAUAAGAAGAAAAUGGACAUGGAUGGAAAUGUUCACAUUUAUAAAGCACGGCUUGUUGCAAAAGGUUUUCGAUAAGUUCAAGGAGUUGACUACGAUGAGACCUUCUCGCCCGUAGUCAUGCUUAAGUCCAUUCGGAUUAUUGUAGCUAUAGCUGCAUAUUUCGAUUAUGACAUAUGGCAGAUGGAUGUCAAGAUAGCUUUCCUGAACGAAAACCUAUCUGAGGACAUGUAUAUGAUACAACCCGAGGGUUUUCUUGAUCCGAAAAAUGCUAGAAAAGUAUGCAAGUUUCAGAGAUCCAUUUAUGGAUUGAAGCAAGCAUCUAGGAGUUGGAACAUUCGUUUUAAUGAAGUGGUCAAAGGGUUUGACUUCACCAAGAACCAAGAAGAGUCUUGUGUUUACAAGAAGGUUAGUGGGAGCUCUGUAGUAUUUCUAAUCUUAUAUGUGGAUGACAUAUUACUGAUUGGAAAUAACAUUCCUAUGCUUGAGUCCAUAAAGACUUCACUAAAAAAUAGUUUUUCAAUGAAGAACUUAGGGGAAGCGGCAUAUAUUCUGAGCAUUAAGAUCUAUAGAGAUAGAUCAAGAAGGCUUAUAGGAUUAAGCCAAGAUACUUACAUUAACAAAGUGUUGAAGUGGUUCAGCAUGGAAGAGGCGAAGAAAGGGUUCUUACCUAUGUCACAUGGCAUACAUCUCAGCAAGACUCAGUGUCCUUCGACUGCUGAUGAGCGAGAUCGCAUGAGUAGAGUGCCAUAUGCCUCGGCUAUUGGAUCUAUCAUGUAUGCAAUGAUAAGUACUCACCCAGAUGUUUUAUAUGUGGUAAGUAUGACAAGUAGACACCAGUCUGAUCCAGGUGAGAGUCACUGGACAGCGGUGAAAAACAUUCUUAAGUACUUGAGAAGGACUAAAGAUAGUUUCCCGACCCUUGAGCUCUACAAAGAAUAACAAUAAGGCGGUCUGACAAAACUUACGACUACAUUCAAGAAACCAAGGGACCAGGGGUGUGAGUACUCACCCUCCAGCCUCUGGUGCAAUGACUUCUUGCACGUCUCAAUGCGACUCUUUUCAGCUGCAAAAACUUGCCUAUCAAUCUGGAAGGAAUCAACAGCCUCCUCCUACUUUUUCAAGUACUCGGUAGUGCGGCGGCGCUCAUUGAUGAUAUCUCUUUCCAACUGUGCUACCCGGCGUGCUGCCUCACUCCGCUCCUGAAGAAUUUGGCUGUUCUGGCAGGAUUUUUCAUACAAGUCUUGCAUAACAAGACAAAGUCACUAUUCAACGUGAAGUACAAUAAUGACAAGCUACAAAGAUAAGUACUCAAAUACAAUACUACACACUUACCUACACAUCCGCCAUCAGCUGCUGAUUCAAGCCAAUGAUCUUGGAUAACGGAGGCAACUCAACCUGGGGGCUCUCAAAAAUCUCAACUUUCUGUGAUAUCCAUAGAGUUUCCCCCGCAGCACCAACCUUGGUGCCGGGCGCAAGAACAAGCACUUGGGUAAAAGAGGCACUAGCCUCAGAUGCAUCCUUGCCUUUCGAUUGCCCGAGCGCAACACUUUGCAUUUCUUGCCCCUCAGACUACUUCAUGUCCUGCGUGACUACCACGUCUCCCUCGUUGGCAAUCACUAUCUCCAUAGCUGUUGUGGCCUCAGUUGCGGGAGGAGGGUUCUCAUUGACAGUCUCAGGGGCUGACGGCAUCAAGUUCUUGAGUGAAUUGAGAACAUUCCGCAGUAUCGUGGCUAUGAGACCCACGGUACUCGCACCCUCACCUUGUGGCAAAUCUUCGUCUGUCAAAUCCACAACUGGUACGGCUACAGGGUUCGUUGUCGAUGGAUCCUUUGCUGACUCUGUACUCGCCAGAUCAAGAUCAACAUUCUCGGACACUCUGAUCCACACACAACUCAAGAUUAGACAAACAACUAUUGAUUGUAAAGUUACAAAUCAAGUACAAAAGCAAAAGAGUACUCACUGGUCAGACCGGGGAAGAACUCGAUGGCGUUUCUUCACCACAGGAGCCGGUUGCACAUUUGGGCUAGCUCAGUAGGCGAAACAGGUGGCAAAUCUUCUGUAUUCUCACCAAGACCUGAAAGAAUCAACUCAAAGACUACAUACGCGCGACUACAAGUAGUCCUUGCGAACUCACCGCUAGCAGGGACUUCAGCCAGUGUGGCGUCGAAGACGGCCUUCGAUGUCUUCACUGCGUCGACCACAUCAGACGUGUCCUCUGCUCCACCACUGAUAACACUAGGCCCGACAACUACUUGGGCAGUAGUUGGCUCGGGGGCUGGGGGUGCGUCUUCUACAGGCACUUCCACCAUAACACUUACACUGGCGGCCACAUCCUUGGCUAUAGCGACUACUUCUAUGGAAGUAGUCUCGCUAGCGUCGAAGACUGUAUUUGCAGCAUCAUCAACACUAUGGUUCGCAUCAUCAACAACCUGCAAUAGAAAAGGUCAAAACAAGUCAAGCUGGCUACUCAAGAUCGACAAGUACUCGUACCUUAGUGUUUUGACCCUCUACAAAGGUGAUUAUCGGCGGCGGAGCCUUGAAGGUCUCCAAAUGUUUCCUGACCGAUUGCUUUCGCACGACGGUUCUCCUCUUCUUUGGCAUUGGAGUCGGAACUUCUUCACCAACAACAUCUUCCACUGGCCGUUUGGAGGUGUCCGUUGAGAACUUAUAGCCCUUGAGUACUCGUGACUGCACAUCAACAUCAGCAGAUAACUCGGAGUCAGACGAUGCAAUGUCUGAGUUGCCAAGCAGCUUAGAGUCCUUCUCGGUCUCCUCCUCCUCUUCUUCCACCUCCUCCUCUGAAGGAUCAUCAACCAAGCAGACGUAAUGCAUAGGCUUGGCAUUUUUCGCGUCAUCAACACCAGGGGGAGGAGGAGAAAAAUAUAAAAGGACAUCUUCCUACGUAAGGAACUACUAGUCGGCAAACGUGAAGACUACUAAAUAUGAGUACUCAACAAUAAGGAAUGAGUAAGCAAAGUUACCUCCCUGGGUUUGUGCCACCUGUCGAACUCCUGGAUGGACUCGUCGACCUUCAGCACUCCACGGAAGUUCUUGAAGAACUUGCUCAACAACCCUUGAACCGCGUCGUCAAAAUUUUCUUCACGCGACAUAAGUGAGGGGUCGUCGAAGCCAGUGUACUCGUACCCCCACGUAACACGGUUCUGCAGUGGCUGUAUUCUCCUCUUGAGGAAACUGACAGCUACGUUGAUACUAGUUAGGCCUGAUUUCUUCAACUCAGCAAUUCUUCGCAAUAAAUCGACUACUAGAGGAUUGUCUUCUGUACUCGGCUCCUCCAGCCACAUGUCCGAGUACUGCGGGCAGUGCCCGGUGACUAUUGGCAUUGCAGGAUCAUGAUUCUCAAUGUGAAACCACUUCUCCUUCCAAUUCCCAUGAGACUGUGGAGUUUCAUAUUCCAAGUACACAUCUGAGUCUCUCAGUUGGAAUCCUGCCCCGCUGAGUACGGUCAUCUUUUCCAAGCUAGGCUGCGGCUUGCAGCGGAAUAGUGCUCGGAACAACUCAAAUUGGGGUUGUAUCCCCAGAUACGCCUCACAAAGAUGCACGAAGAUAGCAAUGUGCAAAAUACUAUUGGGAUUGAGGUGGACAAGUUGAAGGCCAUAGAAGGUGAGGAUACCUCUAAAAAAAUCCGAUGUUGGAACGGCAAAUCCGCUCUCCACAAAAUGCGUCCAAGUCACCGUCUCCUUCUGAUGGGUUUCGAAUUGCCAAGCAUUGGCAUACACACCAUCAAAUUGCCAAGCAUUGGCAUACACAGGCCUCCAGUUCACCACAGCCUCCUCCUGCAGCAAUUUGGCUCUCACCAACUCCUGGAUCGCUUCCCUCUUCAUGGUGGACUCCAGGCCACACCCUGACAAGGCGAAGCGGUCUGAUCGGUUGGACCAUACUUUGGCAGCGGUAGUUGCACCUCCUUCCCCUUCUUGGAUCCCUCUGUGGCCUUAACCUUGGACUUGUCAGUUUUCUUCCCCAUCUUCUUGAUGCGUAUAAACUCGAAGCUGCGUAAAGGAGAGGGGAAGGCUACACUAGCCUACAAAAUCACUGGUUUUGGCUGAUGGUGCAGGCGGCAGCGCAAGCGGGGGCGUUAGGGUUGCAAAGAGCAGAAUAAGCAAAUGGGAACGAGGAAGGCGUAACUCACGUAGGAAGUUGGCCUUAUCUUUUAUAACAGUGCAACGGAUUUAAACGGCUUCGAGAUUUUAGGCAGAGAGCUGGUAAUUGCUCAACGAUCUGUUUCUCUCAGGAUUUAUCGCGAGAUUAAAAGUCCAACGAUCCUGUUGACCAUGGUUGACCCCUUUAUCACCUGGGGGUAGUCGAUCAAGUGCUCGGGGGCUGCGUACGCCUCGCCCGUUGGACAAAAUUUUCUUUUUCUUCAGGGAUUAAGGAAAGUUGAAGCAAAUUCAAAUUGACCCUCAGCCUGAUUCUUCAAUUCAACCUAAGCCUCAGGGGUACUCCAUAUGGAGUGCGAUUGUCAUCGCACUACUAUACAAGACUUCAAGAAAAGACUACUCAGAAAAAUGCUAGAUGAAGCUGGGAGUACCUUUCAGCCACAUGACAGUACUCGAGAACUCGAAAACUAGCCACGACAAGAAGUACUCAACGAGCACCAAGAACUAGUCGACCAAUGUCAGUAGAGUACUCGGGACAGUCUCGUUUGACUACAAAGUACUCGGAGGCUUGUCGAUCAUACAUCCCCUGGCCUACUAGAGGACUUGUGCGGACCCACUUGAGGGGACGUACUCGUAACACAUCAGGACAUGAAGACUAUGCUACAGGGUGACGUAGACUACAUGGACUCCCCAAGGACUAGUCGGAAUACAAGGAAACUACUCUGCCGAGUUAGAGUAGGACUCUGUAAUCGUAUCCAACUAGUACUCUUGUACUCAAGACUUCCCUGUAACCCUACUCCCCAGAUAUAUAAGGGCGGGCAGGGACCCCCUCCAAACAAGUUCAAUCCAAUACAAGCAUACAACACACAGGAUGUAGGGUAUUACACAAUCUAGCGGUCCAAACUUGUUUAAAUCGUGUUCCUACGUCACCAUCGACUCCUUGAUUUUGGCGACACCCACCAACCAAAACACUAUAACAGGUACUCACUUAAUAAGUUGCCGGGUUAAAACACCGACACCACUUGCUCCCCUGGCCUUUGCCGAGUGGGCGUCCCUGGUCGGUAGUCCCAGUCGACCUCGACUGUGUCGGUCGGAGGGGUGCAGUACGGGAGGUACGGUACAUUCCCGGUCGAGAGUACUUGGUCGGGGUCGGAUCGUGGUCCCUCCCCUAGCUGGACCCCUUGGGUCGGGGUGCCCACCGGACCUCUGAGACGGAGGAGCCGGUCGGUGACUGGAUCGUGGUCACGGCCCAGCUGUGGCCCAAAUACGUGUUGUUGUCGACCCUUUGUGGGGCCAAGUGCUGCUGGGAGUCAGUCACGUUAGGGAUCCUAGGUCUAUGGACCCGUUAGAUGGAUAGGGAAGAGAGAGAAUGGCCGGUGGUGGGAGGCUGGAUGUUGAAGGAAGAGAAAAUAAAUAGGAAAAAAAGAAAAAAAGGAAAAGGAAAAAGUAUUAUGGGUAUUUCAUCUUAUCUAACCAUUUUAAACUACAUGGAAGAACUGUUUUGCCAAACAGUUUUUCAAAAGGGCUUCAGCUCCACUAAAAAAGUCACUCCAUCAGAGAAUUCAGAGCUGAAGCCGUUUUCAAAGGAGUUGAAGCCCUGCUAAACUGACGUUACUGAUCAUUGGGACUGAGCUCAAUGUGUCGGAGAGCGACGGAGAUGGAGCCGUGCGAGUUACUUCCGGCCGGCUUCCGUGCACUGGUAGUGUACGUCGACGGAACGCCUGUGAUCAGGUGAGGUGCCUGCAAGAUCAUCAAGAUGUUGGGUGCUGCACGGGAGUGGAAAUGAAGUGAUCUCCUCCUGUUCCUGUCAUCAUCUGCAGAGAUGAGUUGCCUUGCCCUGUUGAAUUACAUACUGUCGUGAGAUCGAAUCGAGUAGAACCUUGUAGUUGUAGGGGCACACACGCAUGCGGCUGACAAGUACUUGACGUCUGCCGUCGUCUACUCGUCGAUCUGGACACAUGCAUGCGUAGGGAGAAAUUGGAGAUGGAGCAGUCAGUUUCCUUGCUUCAGGACCAAUAGACUGUUAUCUACAUUUUUUUACUUUUUCAUUUUGGACAUUUAUGGGCAUGUCGAUCCAUCGCUGAUGGGAUAUCAACACCAUGUCAGCAGGUAGCGUACCAAAGAGGGGGGGGGGGGGGGGGGGGGGGGGAUGAAAUACUCGCGUCACAUGUUGCUCGCGAACCUUAACGUCCAAAUGUUUCUUCGAUGUAAAACAUUAACGUAGUUGAACUGCAACUAGAAAUAUGUUGCGGCCGCUCCCCAAAGAACAGACGUUGAGAUGGCUGAGUUGAUCUAAGGCUAUCCGCACCGCGGUGCGCUAUCCCCAUCUCAACUGCAAAUUUGCCGGUCCUUCACCCGCACUGCGGUACGCUAUCCCACCCCCUAUCCUAUCGAUUGCUACAAGGCACCGGCAAAUCCAGAGGCGGACGAGGCGAACGGUAUCGCUCUCUCACACCAUCCAGGAGAAAGGAGGGAGGGAGGAGGCCGCGGCCACCGGCGGGAGGAGGCCGUGGGCUCCGAAGCCGAUGAGCUCGCCGUCCGCCACUUGCUCACCAGCGCACGGCCAUCGAGGAGGAGGUGGUGGUCGGGGAGGGGAAGGAGCAGGAGAUGGUGGCCGGGAGGAGGAGGAGCCGUGGCAGAGGAGGCUCUCGUCAGGGAGGAGGAGGCCGCGGGUGGCCGCCGCGGGCCACCACAGUGCCGACGGGCUUCCCGUGCCCUCGCCGCAUCAGAUCUGGAGAGAAAGGGAGGCGGCAGGGAGGAGAGCGGGCGGGGUCGAGGCCAGAGGUGGCGCCUGUCGUCGUCGUCGAGGUUGAGGUGCGGGGAGAGAGGAGGCCAUUGGCCGUCGACGGAGAGAGAGGAGGUCGCCGUCCGCCGGCAGGAGGAGGCAGCAGCGGGGAGGGAGGAGGCCAUCGGUGGGAGGAGGCAGCGGCGGGGAAGGAGGAGGCAGCCGGCGGGAGGAGGCAGCAGCGAAGGAAGGAAGCCGGGCUGCCAUGCCGGAGGGAGGGAGGAUGUUGGGCCGCCGUGCCGGAGGGAGGAGGAGGCCGCCGCCGGCGCACGAAGGAAGGAAGCUAGGUCGCCGCACCGGAGGGAGGGAGGAGGCCGGGCUGCCGGCGCGCGGAGGGAGGGAGGAAGACGCCGGUGCGCGGAGGGAGGAGGCCGCUAGCGCGCGGAGGGAGGGAGAAGGCAGUACGCGGUGGUGGUUGAUUUGGAGGUGGGAAGAGAGGCGACGCACGGCAGCACUCUGUGUUUUCCGAUCUCUAUAUUUGCUCCUGCCAUGUGGGCCAUAGGCUUGUACAGGUGGGUUUACCUGUUAUGCGGUGCGGAUAGCCUAGGGCGCCACGGUUCUGGUAUGAAAAGGCAUCCUUUUUAUGUAUCAUUUCGAGGUAUAAUAUCAUCUCCAGUGCUCAUUGAUCAUCCUCCACCAUCGCAGCGGCGAGCAUCAAGGUAACCUCUAAUAAACUCUAAAAUCACAACCCCAAAAUCCAACCUAAUUACUGCGCCGUUACACACGUGAGGCUGGUUUGUCCAUAAAUUUGAAGUCUAUUUUAGAAAUAGUUGAUGUGGAUCAUAAAUCAAUUUAUUGAUAAAAUGAGUCUAUUCCGUGUUUAUCAGGUAGGGUCGUGCGAUAAUUUUUUCUACCCGUUGCAACGAAGAUCACGAGGGAAGCUGAGCUUUGGGUUGCUGCAGGGCAGUAAACCUUGGUAGCUUGAUUUUUUUAAUUAAGGAAAUUAUCCAGUCUUGAACAUUCACAAGUGAAUGUCUCAAAGAAACAAAUCCGGCCACCUAGUCCGGAGGUAUAUGAGUACUUAGACUCCACGCCUUAACACGAGGGUCAAAGAAAGUAAGAAAGCAAGCCACUAAGAAAGAAAGCUAAAAGGAUUAAGCUUCAAACUUCUUCAUGCUCUUGCUUCCACCUAUCCACAGGCCUUGUGCAGCAACUUAUCCCUCCCAUCUGUCAUUUUCUUAGAAAUUUUAGAAGUUAAAAUGAUCCUGCUCGACAGCCAACCGUUUCCUGUCGCGUAGAAACUGCACUUAGUCAAUCUUCACCAUGCACGUUGUCAUUACACUGAAACUGCCAUCCCUCCAUGUUGAACGGGUACCGCCAUCCAAGGACUCCAAAACGGCACCUCAAGAGGAAAGUGAUGUCAAGACGCCGCCACUGCCCGAACCUGCUUUUGUUCUUCGGUUUUCACCUGGAAAAAGUCUCUGGGUCAAGUUCCUCACCGCAACGCCUUCAACAAGCAGCACGAUGCCUCAUGGCACCAUCGUUGCCGACACCGGUCAUGGCUUUUGCCUAAGGACCUCGACACCCUAACAACCACCAAAUUUGCUGGCUACUGCCAAAGUCGGUCGCCCGCCAUCGCCAUCCUCCAUCUGCCGCCCUUCGUCCGCCGCCGCCACCAUAGAGUUGAGUUACGCUCACCUGUAGCCGUCACGGACCACGAACGGGCGGAUCCACCACGAGCUCUCCACGAUGGCGGUCACCGGAGUCUAAUCCACCCUCCCCCGAGCUUACCCCAGGAGAGGUAGGCUCUAUGUGCGUUGCCACGCCCGCAAUGGGCCGCCGCUUCUGGCCGUUGCCAUCACCGGCGCGGUACCGCCGCCCCACAGCAGGCUGCCACCUCGGUCCAUGCUGACGCGAGGCGCAGCGAGCCACCACCUGCCGCCACCUCGGGCCGUCGCCAACGUAGGCCGCCGCCGCCACGGGCCGUCGCCGCCAUCGCCUUCACCGCCACAGGCCACGCACGAGCAGUAGCUAGUUCUUUCUUGCGGUUGUAAUCACCGUGCAAUAUCUCUUACAGUCCAAGCGCGUACACCACAAUAUCACGCGUUGUAAUCCACCAAACUUUACUAUCUUAAUACAAAGAUGCGCAGGAGAUUGCGUUUUCAAUAAAAAAGUUCCAACCAAGUUGCUAAUAAAAAAAAGGUGACCAAUGGAUUAACAGAUUAUUAUUGGCCGCUUCAAUUAGGGUAAGCUUUUUUUUUCCUCCUUCUAGAACGCCGUGUGAACGGCUGAACGCCGAGGAAGUGUUCAUAUCCCCUCUUCCUACGGAGGGGUAGUACUCCCCGGCCCUCCCCGCACCAGAGACGCAAGCGCUGUCGUCAGCGAGCGCCGCCGCGUGGCGCCACCGCGCCCCAACCCCAACCCCAUCCGCGGAUCCGUAUAAAUAUCUGUCCGCGCCGCGCAGCUUCCGGCCCUCCUCACUCCUCAGCUCGGCUGCCUUCAGCUGGUACGCUCUGCUCCGUCGUCCUCUUCCUCCCUGCAGCAGCUAGCUCGUCGGUUCCACCUCCGCUUCCCCCCCUUCCUUCCCCAUGUCCUCGCUAGCGAGUAGGAUAGAUCUCCUCCCGCGCUACCUAAAGCUAGAAAAUUAGACCUGCCUUUCGGAUUUGAAGCCGAGCUACCAACUGGAUUUGAAGUGUGCUCUUCUAAUCCAGCAGAACAAUUCAAAUAGUUCUCGACUCCGUUUGCUUGUUCUAAUCCGUUUUCCUGAUUCGGUUCAUUAAAAAAAAUUGCAGGUAGUAGCGCUGGGCUGACAAGAUGAAGAUGUCUGCGUUCGUUCGGCUGAUCGUCACUCUCCUAUCUGCAGCCGCCGCACUUCCAUCGGAGGCGCUCAACGUGCGAGGCCAGCUGCUCAAGUCCCAGACGUUCCUGUCGCCGCCCAUCUUCCUGCGCCCCGGCUCCGUCUCUAACAAGUGGUACCACGACGUCGCCUUUCCCCGCGGCCACAUCGCGCUCAAGAGCUUCAACGCCGAGGUCGUCGACGACCACGGCGUCCCCGUCCCGCUCCACGAGACCUACCUCCACCACUGGGUCGUGGAGCCCUACUACGCCCUCAAGGACGACGCCGCCGGCGAGGCGCGGAACCGCUCCAAGAUGAUCCAGCAUCGGAACUCCGGCGUGUGCAGCAAGACGCUGCCGCAGUACUACGGGCUCGGGUCCGAGACCCGGCACACGGCGACGUGGGUGCCUGACCCCUACGGCAUCGAGAUCGGCGACCCGGCGGCGGCGCCGGAGGGGUACGAGGAGAGGUUGCGGGUCAACGUGCACGCCAUCGACACGCGCGGCGCCGUCGACAAGCUCGGAUGCACCGAGUGCAGGUGCGACCUGUACAACCUGACGGUGGACGAGUCCGGCCGCCCCGUCGCCGACGACUACGUCGGCGGGCUGCUCUGCUGCUACGAUGAGACCCGGUGCAUGGUCGAGGAAGGGUUCGUCGAUGUCGAGGCGAGGAAGGUAUUCCUGCGGUACACCGUCGUGUGGCAAGACUGGAGCGACGCGGUCUUGCCGGUGAAGAUCUACAUCUUCGAUGCCACUGACAGAGCUCUGCUCGAGGGGAAAACCGAGACUGCUUGCAGGGUAAUGCAUACUAUGCAGCAAGGACUAAAAGCUUCAUAUGCCGACAUGUUUCAGAUGUCGAUCGAGAAACGUGCGAUCAGACUCGAGAUGGUUUAUGAUUUUGGCGAGACGUCUGUUUGUGCAGGUUGAGUACGUGGUCGAGGAGUGCAGCUCAGAGAACCGGGCCAAGAACGACUGCGUCCAUGUUCAGAUGGCCAAGCAGAUCCUGCCGCGGGGAGGCGACAUCGUGUUCGGCGUCGCGCACCUGCAUUCGGGUGGCAUCGCCGCUUCUCUGCACGGCGAGGUAGCUGCCACCACGAAUUCGAUCGAUCUCUUUGCAUUUCUCUGCUGCAGAGCUCAGUAUUUAUCAUCGUCUGAAACUUUGCACAAUCCAAGUAGCAAGUAACGAACAAUGGAUCUGAAACAGUUAGUUGCUAGCCUGGAUGCUGAUGAACUGCAUGCACUGAACUCUGUCACGCAGGACGGCCGGCUGCUGUGCGAAUCGACGGCAACCUACGGCGAUGGCCAGGAGGCCGGGAACGAGGCGGGCUACGUCGUCGGCAUGUCGACGUGCUACCCGAAGCCGGGCGCCGUGACGGUGCGCGACGGCGAGGUCCUGACCGUGGUGUCCAACUACAGCAGCCACCAGCAGCACACCGGAGCGAUGGGCCAAUUCUACAUCCUCGUCGCCGAGCACGGGCAGCCGCAGCAGCAGCAGCUGCCGGCCGCCGCCGGCAAGCCGGGCCUGUGCUUCAGCUUCCCAGUCUCAUGUGAGCAAGCUGGCUAGCUGUUUCUGAAUCCUGCAGUCUGAAUUUUGAAUUUUUCAUGGCGUUUUAACGUGGUUGCUUAUGUUUUCUCUCCGAAUGUUGCAGGGUGCCUGCCAUCAUGGCUGUCGAGCAACCUGUGAGAAGAAUUUAGUAUAGCGUCUUAUAACUGAAGAGUAUAAUUAAGAGUGUUAUGGCCAAAGGAGUAAGAGAAAAAAACUAUCAGGCAGAUGACACGUUGGAGCAUUAUUCUAGCUGUCUUGAUGGACCGUCAGUCAGUC
rnacentral:lncRNA from 1 species